GGUUACGGCGUGCUGUUGGGGCUAGGGAAUACGGAGUGGGGAGAGGGUAAACGGAAUGACUGGGCGUAAGGUGCGUGUUGGGGGCGUGAUAAGGCGGAGGUGAAAUCCCGGUGCUCAACGUGGGGACUGCAUUCGAUACGGUCUGGCUAGAGUGUGGGAGAGGGUGGUGGAAUUCGCGGUGUAGCGGUGAAAUGCGUAGAUAUCGGGAGGAACAUCAGUGGCGAAGGCGACCGCCUGGCCCAACACUGACGCUGAGGUGCGAAAGCGUGGGUAGCAAACAGGAUUAGAUACCCGUGUAGC
rnacentral:rRNA from 1 species